rnacentral:rRNA from 1 species
GACGAACGCUGGCGGCGCGCUUAACACAUGCAAGUCGAACGGAAAGGCCUGCUUUCCCUUGUGGAUUGCGGGUACUCGAGUGGCGAACGGGUGAGUAACACGUGAGUGAUCUGCCCCCAACUUGGGUAUAAGCCUGGGAAACUGGGCCUAAUUCCCGAUAGGACUGCAGGGUGGUGCCUGUGGUGGAAAACGAUUUUCUAGUGGUUGGGGAUGAGCUCGCGGCCUAUCAGCUUGUUGGUGGGGUAAUGGCCUACCAAGGCGGCGACGGGUAGCCGGCCUGAGAGGGUGGACGGCCACAUUGGGACUGGGAUACGGCCCAGACUCCUACGGGAGGCAGCAGUGGGGAAUAUUGCACAAUGGGCGGAAGCCUGAUGCAGCGACGCCGCGUGGGGGAUGACGGCCUUCGGGUUGUAAACUCCUUUCGACCGCGAGGAAGCCACCUGGUUGGAAGGGUGGUGACGGUAGUGGUAGAAGAAGCACCGGCUAACUACGUG